rnacentral:tRNA from 4 species
GCGGGUGUAGCUCAAUUGGUAGAGCGUCAGCCUUCCAAGCUGAAUGUUGCCGGUUCGAUCCCGGUCACCCGCU